AACGAACGCUGGCGGCAGGCCUAACACAUGCAAGUCGAACGCUCCUUCGGGAGAGUGGCGCACGGGUGAGUAACGCGUGGGAACGUACCUUUUAGUAUGGAAUAGCCUCGGGAAACUGGGAUUAAUACCGUAUACGCCCUUCGGGGGAAAGAUUUAUCGCUAAAAGAUCGGCCCGCGUUAGAUUAGGUUGUUGGUGGGGUAAUGGCCUACCAAGCCUACGAUCUAUAGCUGGUCUGAGAGGAUGAUCAGCCACACUGGAACUGAGACACGGUCCAG
rnacentral:rRNA from 1 species